AACGAACGCUGGCGGCAUGCCUAACACAUGCAAGUCGAACGGGACCUUCGUGUCUAGUGGCGCACGGGUGGGUAACGCGUGGGAACCUGCCCUUAGGUUCGGAAUAACUCCCCGUAAGGGGUGCUAAUACCGGAUAAUGUCUUCGGACCUAAGAGUUAUCGCCUUUGGAUGGGCGCGCGUUGGAUUAGCGAGUUGGUAGGGUACAAGCCUACCAAGGCGACGUUCCAUGGCUGGUCGGAGAGGAUGAUCAGCCACGCUGGGGCUGAGGCACGGCCGAGACUGGUACGGGAGGCAGCAGUGGGGAAUAUUGGAGAAUGGGCGAAGGCCUGAUCCAGCCAUGCCGCGUGAGUGAUGAAGGCGUUAGGGUUGUAAAUCUCUUUUUCCCGAGAUGAUAGUGACGGUACCGGGUGAAUAAGCACCGGCUAACUCCGUG
rnacentral:rRNA from 1 species